GUGAAGUCCCAAUUAUGUAAGUCGAAGUAGCUCAGGAAACACCGCCGCUGACAUUCUUUCCGGCAGCAAUGGCUGCAGUCGGGGAGAGUUCUUCUGUUCCGGCGAAGGAAGACAAGCUCGUCGUUGUUAGGGUUAAGAGAAAAGCUUUCCAGUCUCGACUUGACGCUUUCUGGCUUGAAAUCAAUGAGAGGCCAGCCAAACGACCGUUGCUCGACUUUGCAAAGCUUUCAAUCGAUGAAUCUUCUAGUAGAGUUGAGGAAUUGAAGAGCAGAAAGGUACUUGUGCAACAUGUGGAGACCGUAACUAGCUCAGAAGUCACUGUUGAUAUCGUGAAGUCUUUUGUGUCGGCUCCAGCUGUUUCUUCAGAAGUCGAAGAGAAAUCUGAGGUUAGGCGAAGUUUUAGGACAGAAAAGAAACAAGAUCAACUACUUGCCAAGGCAAAGCAAACGCAAGAGGAUUUGUCGAAAAAUGCCCGGUUUGAGCAAAUAUGGAAAAGCAGAAAAGAGAAGAGAAAACUAAUGCACAAUGAAGAGCUGAAUGAGAUGUGUAAACUAUAUGAUGUUAUUCGUGUUGAUACUGAAGAAAAAGGCCGAGAAGUGCAAGAAGAGACUACUGAGCUGGAAGAUCACAAGAUGAUGUCCCAAUAUUUGCCUCUUUUACGAGAAGUCAUGCCAAGUGCUGCUGAAGAAAUUGAGUCAGAGAUUCAUAAUUACGUAGUGAAACAAGCAUCUUCAGAUGGUUACGUUUAUGACUAUUAUACUGUUAAGACUGAUAACAACCCUGAUGAGGAUAUUGCUUGCCCUUUUCCAUUGGUACAAGUUGAUGAAGAUGAUGAUUACUAUGACGGCCCUGAUCAUUCAGACUACGAAUCUGAUGAUUCCAAUGCUGAACAUAAUCCCUGGAAUGAUUACCCGGACGAAGAGGAAUCUGAAGACGAGGAUGAAACCCAGGCAUCAAAUGACGAAUCAGAAGCUUCAAGCAGCACUUCUGAGGAACAAUUUGGAUCUGAAACUGUUGGUGUAAUUUCUUUUAAAACUGAGGAUGUGGACCGUGAAGACUGGACAGAUUAUGCAGAUCCAAUCCUUGAAGAUGAUAUGUAUGGUGAGUCCGAUGUUGAAGCUUCCGAUGAUGAUGAGGAUAUAUGGUGAUCAUCACUACAACACCAUGUUUAAAAUUUCUCAUCAGUACCUAUGUCGUGCAUACCUGUAUAUGUCUUUGCAGAUCAUCGUUAACCUUGCUUUGUGUGAUAACAUGUAGUUAUGUGUUUUGAACUUGCUAAUUCUGCUAUCUGAUGUAGUGGUGAAUGGCAUGUUGUUAUGUCAUUGGGCAAAGAUCUUUUCCCGAGCUUUUGCGUUUUUAAAACUAAUUUGC
rnacentral:misc_RNA from 1 species